GGAUUCCCCUAGUAACUGCGAGUGAAGCGGGAAGAGCUCAAAUUUAAAAUCUGGCGGCUUUAUUGCUGUCCGAGUUGUAAUCUGGAGAAGUGCUUUCCGCGCUGGACCGUGUACAAGUCUCUUGGAACAGAGCGUCGUAGAGGGUGAGAAUCCCGUCUUUGACACGGACUACCAGUGCUUUGUGAUGCGCUCUCGAUGAGUCGAGUUGUUUGGGAAUGCAGCUCAAAACGGGUGGUAAAUUCCAUCUAAAGCUAAAUAUUGGCGAGAGACCGAUAGCGAACAAGUACCGUGAGGGAAAGAUGAAAAGAACUUUGGAAAGAGAGUUAAACAGUACGUGAAAUUGCUGAAAGGGAAACGCUUGAAGUCAGUCGCGUCGGCCGAAACUCAGCCUUUUUUGGUGCACUUUUCGGUCAACGGGCCAGCAUCGGUUUUGAUUGUCGGAUAAAGGUCGAGUGAAUGUGGCACCUUCGGGUGUGUUAUAGCCCUCGGUCGCAUACGGCGGUUGGGAUCGAGGAACUUAGCAGCACGCCUUUAUGGUCGGGGGUUCGCGCCUCACGCUCGUGCUUAGGAUGCUGGCGUAAUGGCUUUAAACGACCCGUCUUGAAACACGGACCAAGGAGUCUAACGUGCCCGCGAGUGUUUGGGUGGUAAACCCGAGCGCGCAAUGAAAGUGAAAGUUGAGAUCCUGUCAUGGGGAGCAUCGACGCCCGGACUUGAACUAAUGUGAUGGCUCUGCGGUAGAGCGUGUACGUUGGGACCCGAAAGAUGGUGAACUAUGCCUGAAUAGGGUGAAGCCAGAGGAAACUCUGGUGGAGGCUCGUAGCGAUUCUGACGUGCAAAUCGAUCGUCAAAUUUGGG
rnacentral:rRNA from 1 species